rnacentral:rRNA from 1 species
GACGAACGCUGGCGGCGUGCUUAACACAUGCAAGUCGAGCGGUAAGGCCCUUUCGGGGGUACACGAGCGGCGAACGGGUGAGUAACACGUGGGUGACCUGCCCUCAGCUCUGGGAUAAGCCUGGGAAACUGGGUCUAAUACCGGAUAUGACUCCAUGACGCAUGUUGUGGGGUGGAAAGCCUUGUGCGGCUGAGGAUGGGCCCGCGGCCUAUCAGCUUGUUAGUGGGGNGAUGGCCUACCAAGGCGACGACGGGUAGCCGGCCUGAGAGGGCGACCGGCCACACUGGGACUGAGACACGGCCCAGACUCCUACGGGAGGCAGCAGUGGGGAAUCUUGCGCAAUGGGCGAAAGCCUGACGCAGCGACGCCGCGUGAGGGAUGACGGCCUGG